rnacentral:rRNA from 1 species
UACGUAGGGCGCAAGCGUUGUCCGGAUUUAUUGGGCGUAAAGAGCUCGUAGGCGGCUUGUCGCGUCGACUGUGAAAUCCCGCGGCUCAACCGCGGGUCUGCAGUCGAUACGGGCAGGCUAGAGUUCGGUAGGGGAGACUGGAAUUCCUGGUGUAGCGGUGAAAUGCGCAGAUAUCAGGAGGAACACCGAUGGCGAAGGCAGGUCUCUGGGCCGAUACUGACGCUGAGGAGCGAAAGCGUGGGGAGCGAACAGG